CCUACGGGAGGCAGCAGUGAGGAAUAUUGGUCAAUGGCCGGAAGGCUGAACCAGCCAUGCCGCGUGAAGGUCAGUGCCCUAUGGGCGUUAAACUUCUUUUGUGCGGGAGCAAUAAUGGUCACGUGUGGCCAGACGAGAGUACCGUACGAAUAAGCAUCGGCUAACCUCGUGCCAGCAGCCGCGGUAAUAAGGGGGAUGCAAGCGUUAUCCGGAUUUAAUGGGGUUAAAGGGUGGCUAAGAUGGGAGGUAAGUCAGCGGUGAAAUGCCCCCGCUCAAAGGGGUGAAGUGCCAUUGAUACUGCCUUGCUGGAGUGCGGAUGCCGUAGGAGGAAUGUGUGGUGUAGCGGUGAAAUGCAUAGAUAUCACACAGAACACCGAUUGCGAAGGCAUCUCACGAAUCCGCGAUUGACGCUGAUGCACGAAAGCGUGGGUAUCAAACAGGAUUAGAUACCCGAGUAGUC
rnacentral:rRNA from 1 species